rnacentral:rRNA from 1 species
GAUGAACGCUGGCGGCGUGCUUAACACAUGCAAGUCGAACGGUGAAGCAGAGCUUGCUCUGUGGAUCAGUGGCGAACGGGUGAGUAACACGUGAGCAACCUGCCCCUGACUCUGGGAUAAGCGCUGGAAACGGCGUCUAAUACUGGAUACGAGCUGCGAUCGCAUGGUCAGCAGUUGGAAAGAUUUUUCGGUCUGGGAUGGGCUCGCGGCCUAUCAGCUUGUUGGUGAGGUAACGGCUCACCAAGGCGUCGACGGGUAGCCGGCCUGAGAGGGUGACCGGCCACACUGGGACUGAGACACGGCCCAGACUCCUACGGGAGGCAGCAGUGGGGAAUAUUGCACAAUGGGCGGAAGCCUGAUGCAGCAACGCCGCGUGAGGGACGACGGCCUUCGGGUUGUAAACCUCUUUUAGCAGGGAAGAAGCGAAAGUGACGGUACCUGCAGAAAAAGCGCCGGCUAACUACGUGCCAGCAGCCGCCGUAAGAC